rnacentral:tRNA from 1 species
GCCACUCUAGCUCAGUUGGUAGAGCAGCUGAUUCGUAAUCAGCAGGUCGGCAGUUCAAGUCUGCUGGGUGGCU